CAAAUUCACACAAUGACUCCUUCCUUUUCUUGUUCUUCACACCCUCAAUUAUAAUUUACUUUCUUGUUCUUGUUGACGAUCUUCUUGUGAUUGACAACAAUCCCGAACCUGUUAUAUCAAUUAAAUUCACUGAUUCUCCCUCCCUCCGCUUCUCAAUAAAAAAAAACAUGGGCUUUCUUCACUGCUUUCAUGGGAUUGAGGUUAUUCGUACUCGUAACUUAUUUCUCAAUCAGCAUAAAUACACUCAUGAUCUUCUCUCCCACAUUAACAUGUCAAGUGCCAAGCAGUGCUCAAAUCUUAUGUCUAGGACCACCUCCCUCACUCUACAUGAUGAAUCCGAGCUUCCAGUCGAGGGACCCGAUUCAUCUAGCCACCGGCUCAAAGGAUAAAGCUAAUCACGAUGGAGUCCUAGCUGGUUGUGAUUCAAUUUUUGUUGUCA
rnacentral:lncRNA from 1 species